UACGGAGGGGGCUAGCGUUGUUCGGAAUUACUGGGCGUAAAGCGCACGUAGGCGGCUUUGUAAGUUAGAGGUGAAAGCCCGGGGCUCAACUCCGGAAUUGCCUUUAAGACUGCAUCGCUAGAAUUGUGGAGAGGUAAGUGGAAUUCCGAGUGUAGAGGUGAAAUGCGUAGAUAUCAGGAGGAACACCUGUGGUGUAGACGGCUUACUGGACCAUGACUGACGCUGAGGCACGAAAGCGUGGGGAGCAAACAGG
rnacentral:rRNA from 1 species